AGUCGUAGGCCGUGUCUCAAUUCAGGGGUUGUAUCCUUCGAGGUACGCAGCCUACGCGGUCGACGCAGGAUGCGGCCGACGAGACCGCGUAGGCUGGACCGAGCGGCCUACGAAAUGAGACGGUCUAGCCUACGGAGCGCUUCGUAUUUACGUCACGUGAUACGCGCUGUUCGGUUGCGUUGCUCAAGCAGCCUGCUAGCAAAUUAGCUGAAAAGGAUCCAGAAACUUUACUUUUAAAAUGUUUGGAGAUCACCGUCGGAGAUUAAAUAAAGAGAACCAUGGCCAGAUAAAUAAGAUGAAGCUGUUCCUUUAGCCCCCAGUCAUGUUACAUCAAUGAUGUCCCACUGACCCCAGGUCAGCACCUCCAGGUCCAGCAGCACCGUGCCCCCCGCUCUGCUGAAAUACACAAUUAAACAUUUUCUAUGACCUAUUUCUUGUAUUAAUAAAAUUAAACUGAAGACAGUUUAA